AUGAUUCAAUUCAUUCAUGACUUUAUAAUAUACGACUAUCUUUCUUGGUACAGGCAAAAUUCUCCUAUCUUUGAGGACACGGCGAAUCCUCUAUUCUCUCUUCUGUACUGCCGCCUCGUAAAUCACUACUGUGAUAUUAGUGUUUUUUAUUGGGCUUAGGCCCAGUGGUGUGUAGCAAAGCAGAAUAGAGGGUCCCCAUGUUCUCAUAGUUGGACUGAGUUUUACAAUAAUAUCAACGGGCUUAAGGAAUGGAGCCACUUUAAUGGUCGUUACUGUAUAGAAGGGUCCCUGUUUCCUAUUUUUUAACUUUUGGCAGAAGCAGAAGCAUCAGCUAAUCACAAUUGCGAUUCUAAAUGGAAUAUCUCCUGAGGGAUGAGAGCAUGUAUGUUUAUUUGAAGAGAAGGACAUCAAGUUACAUACGCCAUUGAGAAUCACAUGCAUCAUGCAUGGGACAUCACCGAAAACAAGCACUACUGUAUAUAAAGAAAUAAUAGGUGUCUAUAUUUCAGAUAUAAUAUUCAUAUGAAUAUAUUUUUGGAAUAUUUUUAUAA